UACAGAGGGGGCAAGCGUUAUUCGGAAUUAUUGGGCGGAAAGGGCGCGUAGGCGGCCUGGCAAGUGGAAGGUGAAAUCCCUCGGCUUAACCGAGGAACUGCCCUCCAAACUGCUUGGCUUGAGUCCGGGGAGGUGAGUGGAAUUCCCAGUGUAGCGGUGAAAUGCGUAGAUAUUGGGAGGAACACCAGUGGCGAAGGCGGCUCACUGGACCGGAACUGACGCUGAGGCGCGAAAGCGUGGGGAGCAAACGGG
rnacentral:rRNA from 1 species